rnacentral:rRNA from 1 species
UGGGGGAUAUUGCACAAUGGGCGAAAGCCUGAUGCAGCGACGCCGCGUGGGGGAUGAAGGCUUUCGGGUUGUAAACCUCUUUCGCUAUCGAACAAGGCCCGUUUAGGGUGGGUUGAGGGUAGGUGGAGAAGAAGCGCCGGCUAACUACGUGCCAGCAGCCGCGGUAAUACGUAGGGCGCGAGCGCUGUCAGGAAUUACUGGGCGUAAAGGGCUUGUAGGCAGCUUGUUGCGCCUGCUGUGAAAACGCGGGACUUAACUUCGCGCGUGCAGCUGGUACGGGCAGGCUUGAGUGUUGUAGCGGUGACUGAGAUUCCAAGUGUAGCGGGCGAAUGCGCAGAGAUCUUGCGGAACACCGAUGACGAAGGCAGGUCACUGGGCCAUUACUUUCGCUGAGAAGCGAAAGCAUGAGUAGCGAGCAGG